rnacentral:misc_RNA from 1 species
AAGUCGUAACAAGGUUUCCGUAGGUGAACCUGCGGAAGGAUCAUUACAGAGUAAACUUGGUGGGUUGUUGCUGGCUCUCAAUUGAGCAUGUGCACACCUGUCAUCUUUAUCUUUCCACCAUGUGCACUUUAUGUAGGACUGGAAUGGACAAUAAGCCUAGUCACUCGUGGACUAUUGGAAAGUUGCUGAUCUUAUCAGCUCUUUCUGUAUCUGGCUGUCCACUCUAGACUCUACGAUAUUUCUAUAUACACCAUGUAUGUCAAUGAACGCAAUCAAUGGGCCCACAAAGCCUAUAAACUAUUAUACAACUUUCAGCAACGGAUCUCUUGGCUCUC